rnacentral:rRNA from 1 species
GUAGGUGGCAAGCGUUGUCCGGAAUUAUUGGGCGUAAAGCGCGCGCAGGCGGUUCUUUAAGUCUGAUGUGAAAGCCCACGGCUCAACCGUGGAGGGUCAUUGGAAACUGGAGAACUUGAGUACAGAAGAGGAAAGCGGAAUUCCACGUGUAGCGGUGAAAUGCGUAGAGAUGUGGAGGAACACCAGUGGCGAAGGCGGCUUUCUGGUCUGUAACUGACGCUGAGGCGCGAAAGCGUGGGGAGCAAACAGGAUUAGAUACCCUGGUAGUCCACGCCGUAAACGAUGAGUGCUAAGUGUUAGGGGAUUUCCGCCCCUUAGUGCUGCAGCUAACGCAUUAAGCACUCCGCCUGGGAGUACGGCCGCAAGGCUG